rnacentral:rRNA from 1 species
UGGGGAAUAUUGGACAAUGGGGGGAACCCUGAUCCAGCCAUGCCGCGUGUGUGAAGAAGGCCUUAUGGUUGUAAAGCACUUUAAGCGAGGAGGAGGGUACUGGUAUUAAUACUACCAGGUACUGGACGUUACUCGCAGAAUAAGCACCGGCUAACUCUGUGCCAGCAGCCGCGGUAAUACAGAGGGUGCGAGCGUUAAUCGGAUUUACUGGGCGUAAAGCGUGCGUAGGCGGCUAAUUGAGUCGGAUGUGAAAUCCCCGAGCUUAACUUGGGAAUUGCAUUCGAUACUGGGUAGCUAGAGUGUGGGAGAGGAUGGUAGAAUUCCAGGUGUAGCGGUGAAAUGCGUAGAGAUCUGGAGGAAUACCGAUGGCGAAGGCAGCCAUCUGGCCUAACACUGACGCUGAGGUACGAAAGCAUGGGGAGCAAACAGG